UACGAAGGGGGCUAGCGUUGCUCGGAAUCACUGGGCGUAAAGGGCGCGUAGGCGGCCAUUCAAGUCGGGGGUGAAAGCCCAGGGCUCAACCCUGGAAUUGCCUUCGAUACUGUUUGGCUAGAGACCGGAAGAGGUAAGUGGAACUGCGAGUGUAGAGGUGAAAUUCGUAGAUAUUCGCAAGAACACCAGUGGCGAAGGCGGCUUACUGGUCCGGAUCUGACGCUGAGGCGCGAAAGCGUGGGGAGCAAACAGG
rnacentral:rRNA from 1 species